UUUUGUGUAUGUAAAAUAUAUGAAAAAAAAUUAGCAUGUCUUUACACAUAAAUAAUAUAUUUUUCCGAGUUACUUCCUGACAGUGGUUUCUUUGUGGCAUUGGAGCAGGCGACCCAGACAAUAGACACUUACCAACGGCGAGUGCGAUAACUUUAUACAGAGUCAGGAUAAGAAAGAAAUAGAAGAGGGAAAAAAUAAUAAUAAUAAUAACAAUAAGAGGAAAAAUAAUAAAAAGAAUAAGAAUAAGAAGGUGCCGAGGAGAAAAGGUGAAGACGAGUGGGAGAGAAUGCAGGGGGAAAAUGUUUUAGGGCGCGAGAACGAGAGGCGUGGAAGAUCACGACUUACCCAUAUAAAAUACAUUGCCCGCACAUUCACGACGGUAAUCAAACCCGUAAAUCCGACAAGUAAUUUUUUUCUUCACGCUUCAGAUCAACACGGAAGUCUGACAUCAAUGAUACGCUUAGUUGGAGGAGACAUAUCUUGAUCUUUCUAAUAUAAUAAUAUGAUCAAUUGAUCUUGAUCAUGAUCGUGAUUAUGAUUAUGAUUAUCAUCAAAAAUCCGCUUGAGGGACAACCGAGCGGUUGUAGCUGUUAGCUGGUUGCUGAUGUGUAUUUGUAAGGCCACAGUGGAUAGAGAAAAAUUUACUUAUAUAUUUAUACUUAUAUAUAUUGCUCGCCGUCAUUUGAUUACCGAUGAUGACCCAAGUAAAGUAGUUUGAAAGCAGUUAACUCUCGCGGAUUCAGCAUUGAAAUUUGCCCGCUGUAUGCAGUCAGCGUUAUUCCGAGCUCUUCAAUGUGGGCGGAGUAAUGCACGAGCAGUUAUCGAAGCUUGCCAAUAAAUCUACGCCUUAACUAGAAUUCGCCUCGAGUUACGAUCAAGAAGAGAAUAAGAGUAAGAUCCCGCUUCUGUAAUUACUAUCUUCGGAGCAUUCUUCGAUGUACUCCAGUUCGAGUUAACAUCCAGAUCGAUAGAUCCUUCACAACCUCGUCAUCCGGCGUGAUAACAAUGUUACCGUCAAUAUAAAUAUACAUUAAAUAAACAAGUAAAAA